UGACAGAGUGAGGGAAGGGGUGACUAGUGGCAGAGUGAGGGAAGGAAGGGGUGACAGAGUGAGGAAGGGGGUGACACGUGACAGAGUGAAGGAGGUGGUGACUGGCACUAGUCACCCCAUCCCUCCCUCUGUCACUAAUCACCACCUCCCUCACUCUGUCACUAGUCACCCCAUCCCUCCCUCACUCUGUCACUAGUCACCCCCUCCCUCUCUCUGUCACUAGUCACACCCUCUCUCUGUCACUAGUCACCCCCUCCCUCACUCUGUCACUA